GGACCAGACUUUGAUUCUGGCUCAGGAUGAACGCUAGCUACAGGCUUAACACAUGCAAGUCGAGGGGAAACGACAUCGAAAGCUUGCUUUUGAUGGGCGUCGACCGGCGCACGGGUGAGUAACGCGUAUCCAACCUGCCCACCACUUGGGGAUAACCUUGCGAAAGUAAGACUAAUACCCAAUGAUAUCUCUAGAAGACAUCUGAAAGAGAUUAAAGAUUUAUCGGUGAUGGAUGGGGAUGCGUCUGAUUAGCUUGUUGGCGGGGUAACGGCCCACCAAGGCAACGAUCAGUAGGGGUUCUGAGAGGAAGGUCCCCCACAUUGGAACUGAGACACGGUCCAAACUCCUACGGGAGGCAGCAGUGAGGAAUAUUGGUCAAUGGACGAGAGUCUGAACCAGCCAAGUAGCGUGCAGGAUGACGGCCCUAUGGGUUGUAAACUGCUUUUAUAAGGGAAUAAAGUGAGUCUCGUGAGACUUUUUGCAUGUACCUUAUGAAUAAGGACCGGCUAAUUCCGUGCCAGCAGCCGCGGUAAUACGGAAGGUCCGGGCGUUAUCCGGAUUUAUUGGGUUUAAAGGGUGCGUAGGCCGGAGAUUAAGCGUGUUGUGAAAUGUAGACGCUCAACGUCUGCACUGCAGCGCGAACUGGUUUCCUUGAGUACGCACAAAGUGGGCGGAAUUCGUGGUGUAGCGGUGAAAUGCUUAGAUAUCACGAAGAACUCCGAUUGCGAAGGCAGCUCACUGGAGCGCAACUGACGCUGAAGCUCGAAAGUGCGGGUAUCGAACAGGAUUAGAUACCCUGGUAGUCCGCACGGUAAACGAUGGAUGCCCGCUGUUGGUCUGAAUAGGUCAGCGGCCAAGCGAAAGCAUUAAGCAUCCCACCUGGGGAGUACGCCGGCAACGGUGCAACUCAAAUGAAUUGACGG
rnacentral:rRNA from 1 species